CUUGCUAAAAUUUUCAAGAAUACUAAUUUUUAAUUAGUUCUUUUAAAUUAUAACGAUUAUCAAUUAACAAUCAAUUCAGAACUGGCACGGACUUGGGGAAUCCGACUGUCUAAUUAAAACAAAGCAUUGUGAUGGCCCUAGCCAUUGUUGACACAAUGUGAUUUCUGCCCAGUGCUCUGAAUGUCAAAGUGAAGAAAUUCAAGUAAGCGCGGGUCAACGGCGGCAGUAACUAUGACUCUCUUUGGGAAGCUGGGUCGGAUGAGCGCAGAAGGGGUGUUCUU
rnacentral:ncRNA from 1 species